rnacentral:lncRNA from 1 species
CUUCCCCAUUUUGCCUUCGUCUUUUUUACGCUUUCCUUACAUUUUCCCUUCUUGCAUUUCAUCCCUACCACUACCUGUCCCAAUUGACCCACACUGCGCCUCACGGCUCUCCAGCAUACCUCUGUUCGUUCGUUUUUACAGCUCCUCCGACCACCAUAAUGUCAUCGGCCAGCCACUUACCGACGGGAUUUGAGCUACUCCACUAGGAGACCGACGAUUUUCUUGCAUCAGAACUUCAACCCAUUGAAGAGCUACUUCGAAAUUCUCUCUUCCACCACAACCCAAUCGAUGANAAUGGACAACUACGGCCAGCAGUGGGACUCUGUUCCCGAACAACUAGUAAGUUUCUACACCCUUCCUGCUCGCAUUUGAUCACCGCAUCUCUGGCUGCACAAUAGUAACGUUAUUCCCCUAUUUCUCCAAUUGUAAGUUGCUUCCUUUCCACAUGUGAUCCACAACACCCGAAUGUGAAAGUCACGUCUGGUAAUUCUGAACAUUAGUUGUGCAAUUGAUUUUGAAGAAAUUGAUUAGUUAGUAGAUGUUACAAUGACAACCUAUGUUGGAUUUCCCAUGGUUACUUCCCAGUUUUCGAAUAAUGUGUUUUUCAUUUUGCACCACCCUGUCCACUUUUAUGUUAGUAUGGAAAUAUUAAUUUGUAAACAAGAUUAUACCAUGUCCAUUUUCCCCACUCGAUCGAAAAUGAAACACCGUAGCACAAGGCGUUGUGAAAUUCUAGGGUGAGUGCAUCUUACAGACACAUAGGCUUUUUCCCAUGGCCCGUUUGCCAACUAAUUCAUUGUGUUCUUUUCUAUGAUAUUGUCGCUGCAUGAGUCUCACAGCUUUUGCCCUGCAGUAUGACACCGGUGGCGGCGCCCACUGAUAAGUGUAUUUUAUACACUUAUUUCAUUCAUUAAAUUAGAUCAAUUUUUGUUAUUUAGGAUGAAUUAAUGCUUAACUUCAUAUAAAUUUUGUUUAUUAGGUGUAACUCGAGGUAAAACAAUGAAAUUGGAUAGAAGAGAGGGAAAUUUGCUAACUUGGGCCUAAUCAAAAGUUUGGGGACUAAAUCGCAAAGUGUCAAAAGUUGAUUUGGACAUGAUGUUAAUGAUUGAAGAAGAGCAAGAGGUAAUUAAAUGGUGUUAGAAGAUGAAUGAUCGAGAAGAUGUCAGAUAUGGACCAAAAGGAACAAAGAAUGAAGUAUAGGGACCAAAGUGCAACACAUAGAAAAAUUUCAUAACGACGCGUGCAGGCCAAAACUCUCACGUGCACAAGGGAUUGAAUUUCAUAAGCAGAAUGUAGAACCAAUAGGCGGUGCGCGCGCAAGAAAAUAUACCGCACGUGCGGGGAAAUUUAUCGGAGAAAAAUCGAGCAGAUUCCUUUUUUGAUACAAACUCUUAUGGAAACCUCCUUCUUCUUUUAGAUGGAAAAAAGAGGCUUGAAAGGAGAGAAAAUCUAAGAGGCAAAAAUCAAGAAUAAUUGCAAGAAGAUUGACAAUAAUUGGGAGAAGAAUUCACGCAACACAACUAGUUUUUUCUCUUAUUCUCUACUUCUUCUCCAUGUUCUUUAUUGUGUAUUUUCAUUAUGUCAGUCAAUUCAAUUAUGAAUUAAACUUUGAGAUCUAGGGCUUGACGUAACCUAUUUGAGGCAUGUUUUGAUUCCAAACAGUUAUUUUCUUUGAUUUUCC